GGGCUCACACAAGCGGUGGAGGAUGUGGCUUAAUUCGAGGCUACGCGAAGAACCUUAUCCUGGUCUUGACAUGCUUGGGAACCCUCUUGAAAGAGUGGGGUGCCCUUCGGGGAGCCCUUGCACAGGUGCUGCAUGGCUGUCGUCAGCUCGUGUCGUGAGAUGUCGGGUUAAGUCCCUUAACGAGCGAAACCCUUGUCCUUAGUUGCCAGCGGUUCGGCCGGGGACUCUAAGGAGACUGCCGGUGUUAAACCGGAGGAAGGUGGGGAUGACGUCAAGUCCUCAUGGCCUUUAUGAUCAGGGCUGCACACGUCCUACAAUGGCACGUACAAAGGGAAGCAAGACCGCGAGGUGGAGCAAAUCCCAAAAAGCGUGCCUCAGUUCGGAUUGCAGGCUGCAACUCGCCUGCAUGAAGCCGGAAUCGCUAGUAA
rnacentral:rRNA from 1 species